UCUCUACCCCACAGAUGUAUGGACUCCAAGCUGGAUCCCAACCUUCACCUGUCAGCACCACAGGAAAUGAGGCAACCAAGCUGGACCAUUUCUGAGGGAGCACUGAGGAGCUGUACUGACUCACUGUCCUAGGGGGAUGAAUGGCUUGAGGACUAACACCCUGAUGACACAGCAGCUGAGGUCCUCAGUGAAUUACCAGCUCUCCAGGCUAAUUUUUAGAAGAUCGUUCUCUCAAGAAAUGAAACCAAAAGACCAACCACAGCAACUUAAACUCAGUCAUCCACACAUCAUCAAACAUUUAAGCAAAGUCUGCAACAUGUGAGAUAAACAGAGAAGAUAACCCAGAAACUGAGAUAAUUCAGGGACUAUUUUUAUAUUUUAAAUAAUUUUCAAAAACAAACCAAAAACCACUGGAGGAGGUACUGGACACAAACUGCCACAUUGAUCUGGUCAAAGAAGAUCCUGUCAGCUUUCUAACAGCAAUCUUAAAAGUAUGACUACCAUGCACCACCUAUAUAUUCUUGUGGAAAUCAUACUUACAUGCCCAUGUUGUAUGGGAAAGGAAUGUGUUUUAACACCAGAUGAAAACCCAAGUUUCACUUACUACCUGUGUGCUCUUGAGUAAAGCAUGUACAUUCUGAGCCUCAGUUUUAUCAAGCACAACUUGGGAGUUACUUAUAGAGUUACUAUAAGAAUUUAAUGUUAUUUUUUCUCAUUUGGGAAUACAUCCAGUAGAAUUUAUUUUGUCCCCUAUAAAUGGCAUUCUUGUUACCAUGAUAUGGUAGAAAAAGCUGAUGGUGUGUUAUUCCAAAAAUAUUAAAAGAGGGCUGAGGGAUCCAAGAUAUCCUAUU